rnacentral:rRNA from 1 species
GGCCUACCAAGGCGACGACGGGUAGCCGGCCUGAGAGGGUGUCCGGCCACACUGGGACUGAGAUACGGCCCGGACUCCUACGGGAGGCAGCAGUGGGGAAUAUUGCACAAUGGGCGCAAGCCUGAUGCAGCGACGCCGCGUGGGGGAUGACGGCCUUCGGGUUGUAAACCUCUUUCACCAUCGGCGAAGCCCAUAGCUUGUGUUGUGGGUGACGGUAGGUGGAGAAGAAGCACCGGCCAACUACGUGCCAGCAGCCGCGGUAAUACGUAGGGUGCGAGCGUUGUCCGGAAUUACUGGGCGUAAAGAGCUCGUAGGUGGUUUGUCGCGUUGUCCGUGAAAUUCCCUGGCUUAACUGGGGGCGUGCGGGCGAUACGGGCAGACUGGAGUACUGCAGGGGAGACUGGAAUUCCUGGUGUAGCGGUGGAAUGCGCAGAUAUCAGGAGGAACACCGGUGGCGAAGGCGGGUCUCUGGGCAGUAACUGACGCUGAGGAGCGAAAGCGUGGGGAGCGAACAGGAUUAGAUACCCUGGUAGUCCACGCCGUAAACGGUGGGUACUAGGUGUGGGUUUCCUUCCUUGGGAUCCGUGCCGUAGCUAACGCAUUAAGUACCCCGCCUGGGGAGUACGG